UNUGACUUGAGUGCAGAAGGGGAGAGUGGAAUUCCAUGUGUAGCGGUGAAAUGCGUAGAUAUAUGGAGGAACACCAGUGGCGAAAGCGGCUCUCUGNUCUGUCACUGACGCUGAGGCUCGAAAGCGUGGGUAGCGAACAGGAUUAGAUACCCUGGUAGUNCACGCCGUAAACGAUGAGUGCUAGGUGUUAGGCCCUUUCCGGGGCUUAGUGCCGGAGCUAACGCAAUAAGCACUCCGCCUGGGGAGUACGACCGCAAGGUUGAAACUCAAAGGAAUUGACGGGGGCCCGCACAAGCGGUGGAGCAUGUGGUUUAAUUCGAAGCAACGCGAAGAACCUUACCAGGUCUUGACAUCCCGAUGCUAUUCUUAGAGAUAGGAAGUUACUUCGGUACAUCGGAGACAGGUGGUGCAUGGUUGUCGUCAGCUCGUGUCGUGAGAUGUUGGGUUAAGUCCCGCAACGAGCGCAACCCUUAUUGUUAGUUGCCAUCAUUAAGUUGGGCACUCUAGCGAGACUGCCGGUAAUAAACCGGAGGAAGGUGGGGAUGACGUCAAAUCAUCAUGCCCCUUAUGACCUGGGCUACACACGUGCUACAAUGGUCGGUACAACGAGUUGCGAGCCGGUGACGGCAAGCUAAUCUCUGAAAGCCGAUCUCAGUUCGGAUUGGAGGCUGCAACUCGCCUCCAUGAAGUCGGAAUCGCUAGUAAUCGCGGAUCAGCACGCCGCGGUGAAUACGUUCCCGGGCCUUGUNC
rnacentral:rRNA from 1 species